rnacentral:tRNA from 1 species
GUCGUGAUCGUCUAAUGGUUAAGACUCCACCUUGUGGCCGUGGUAACUCAGGUUCGAAUCGUAGUCAUAACA